CCUACGGGGUGCAGCAGUGAGGAAUAUUGGUCAAUGGGCUUACGCCUGAACCAGCCAAGUCGCGUGAGGGACGACUGCCCCAUGGGUUGUAAACCUCUUUUGUCAGGGAGCAACGCCGGCCACGUGUAGCUGGACUGAGAGUAUCUGAAGAAAAAGCUCCGGCUACUUCCGUGCCAGCAGCCGCGGAAAUACGGAGGAUGCGAGCGUUAUCCGGAUUGUUUGGGUUUAAAGGUUCCGUAGGCGGCAUGUGAAGUCAGCGGUAAAACCGCGGGGCUCAACCCCGCUCCGCCGUUGAAACUGGCGGUCUUGAGUGGGCGAGAGGUAUGCGGAAUGCGUGGUGUAGCGGUGAAAUGCGUAGAUAUCGCGCAGAACUCCGAUUGCGAAGGCAGCAUACCGGCGCCGAACUGACGCUGAGGCACGAAAGCGUGGGUAUCGAACAGGAUUAGAUACCCGAGUAGUC
rnacentral:rRNA from 1 species